rnacentral:rRNA from 1 species
GACGUAGGUGGCGAACGUUAUCCGGAAUUAUUGGGCGUAAAGGAUGCGUAGAUGGUGUAGUAAGUUAUCGGUGGCAAAUCGAGGCUCAACCUCGUGGAAGUCGGUAAUACUGCUAUGCUAGAGGAUGGGAGAGGUUAACGGAACUCCCUGUGGAGCGGUGAAAUGCGUAGAUAUAGGGAAGAACACCAAUAAGGCGAAGGCAGUUAACUAUUCGGUACCUGACGUUGAGGCACGAAAGCGUGGGGAGCAAGACGG